GAUGAACGCUGGCGGCGUGCCUAAUACAUGCAAGUCGAGCGAACAGACGAGGAGCUUGCUCCUCUGACGUUAGCGGCGGACGGGUGAGUAACACGUGGAUAACCUACCUAUAAGACUGGGAUAACUUCGGGAAACCGGAGCUAAUACCGGAUAAUAUAUUGAACCGCAUGGUUCAAUAGUGAAAGACGGUUUUGCUGUCACUUAUAGAUGGAUCCGCGCCGCAUUAGCUAGUUAGUAAGGUAACGGCUUACCAAGGCGACGAUGCGUAGCCGACCUGAGAGGGUGAUCGGCCACACUGGAACUGAGACACGGUCCAGACUCCUACGGGAGGCAGCAGUAGGGAAUCUUCCGCAAUGGGCGAAAGCCUGACGGAGCAACGCCGCGUGAGUGAUGAAGGUCUUCGGAUCGUAAAACUCUGUUAUUAGGGAAGAACAAAUGUGUAAGUAACUAUGCACGUCUUGACGGUACCUAAUCAGAAAGCCACGGCUAACUACGUG
rnacentral:rRNA from 1 species